UACGUAGGGUGCGAGCGUUGUCCGGAAUUAUUGGGCGUAAAGAGCUUGUAGGCGGUUUGUCGCGUCUGCUGUGAAAGUCCGGGGCUCAACCCCGGACUUGCAGUGGGUACGGGCAGACUAGAGUGUGGUAGGGGAGACUGGAAUUCCUGGUGUAGCGGUGAAAUGCGCAGAUAUCAGGAGGAACACCGGUGGCGAAGGCGGGUCUCUGGGCCGUUACUGACGCUGAGGAGCGAAAGCGUGGGGAGCGAACAGG
rnacentral:rRNA from 1 species